rnacentral:pre_miRNA from 1 species
ACUGAGUUUAUUUGAGUACUUAGACGGCCAUUAGAGCAACGAUCUAGCACCAUAUAAAUUCAGUAU